CACCAACAUAAUUUACAUCCUUACCAUAAAAUGGCCCUUUUGAUUUUGAAGUCCUGUUGGCAAAAAUAAGGGGUGCUUCUCGAAGCCCUCGAGACGGUGAACACAACUACGGAAUCAAUUUGGAUUUUCUACGGUUGAAUCACAAGAUAAUUGGAGUUGAAAUUAGGCUAGGGUUUCUUAUUUUCAAUAAUUUGAUGAUAAUUGAUGGAUAUGAGACUAAUUAUAUGUAUAUAAUGACCAAUUUUCGUCCAUGAGGUGAUGGAAAAUGACCAUAUUGCCCUUAAAAAUUUAAGUAAAUCCGAAUCUGUCCAUGGUGGACUGUUUUGAUAGGCUAAAGUAAAUCGGCCAUAACUCUUUGCUCCGAUAUCGGAUUUGGGUGAAAUUGGUAUCGUUAGAAAUUGGUAUGGGUGGAAAGAUAAUUCAAAGGACUUUCAUUUCAUAUAAAGUAGGCCACCCAGUUUGUCCUGUACAAAGAGUUAUGAUCGUUUGAAUUUGACCCUAAAAAUCUGUUUUGAGAGGCUGAAGUAAAACGAGUAUAACUCCUUACUCAGAUGUUGGAUUUGGAUAAAACCAAUUGCAUGUAGUUAUGAUCGUUUGAAGUUGACCCUAAAAAUCUGUUUUGAGAGGCUGAAGUAAAACGAGUAUAACUCCUUACUCAGAUGUUGGAUUUGGAUGAAACCAAUUUCAUUGGAAAGAAGACUCAAAGAUCUUUCUUUUGAUAUAUGGUAGCUCAACCAGUUCAUUAUAUUGAGGGAGUUAUGAUCGUUCAAAGUUGACCCAAAAAACUGGCAGGCCUCAGUAGUUUCCUGCACAUUUUACUGUUCACAUCCCGGCCACCGUUUUAAAGUUUCGAACGAGCUCGCUUAUAUCCGAAACUUAUCCGUUUUUGGAAAUCUUUAUAUCGUUGGAAAGCUUAUUCAAUAACCUUCGUAUGGAACCAUCGACGGGAAAAUUCCGAUAUAAAUAAAGUCGAUUCCUAUACACCUAUAAUCAAACUAUACACUUGAAACCAUCUCAAAAUAAUCAAUACUCAUACUUAAACUCAUAUAUACCUAACUUAGGAUCAAUACAUAUACUCCAACACAUAUAACAAUGACUAAUGCACGUAAUUAAGUACGGGGUGUUACAUCCUUCCCCCCUUAAGGACAUUCGUCCUCGAAUGUGAAUGUAGUUAUUUAGCCGAAACAAGUUCAAGUCCACCAUUAACAUUCACAUCAUCACAUAAAUACUAUGCAUAUAUAAACAAAAACUUACUUGUUAAUGUUCUAACUCCGUUUCUUGAACUUCCUCUUCAUCUUUGAACAAAUGAGGGUACUUAGAUUUCAUUGCUUCCUCAGCUUCCCAUGUAAUCUCUUCCCUUUGUUGAUUUCUCCAAAGUACUUUCACCGAUGCUACUUCUUUAUUUCUCAUCUUCUUAACUUGUCGAUCUAAUAUAGCAAUAGGCAUCUCCUCAUAGGUAAGAUCUGCUGUUACUUGCACAUCUUCAGUAGAAGUAAUAAGGGACGGAUCUCCGAUGCACUUUCGAAGCAUCGAUACAUGAAAUACUGGAUGCACUGAUGAUAGUUCCUGGGGUAGAUCUAAUUCAUAAGCAACUUGCCCACAUCUUCGAAUAAUUUUAUACGGGCCUAUAUAUCGUGGACUCAACUUUCCUUUCUUGCCAAAUCUCAUCACCCCUUUCAUUGGCGAUACCUUCAAAAAUACCCAAUCGCCUAACGAAAAUUCUAGCCCUCUUCUUCUACUAUCCGCAUAUGACUUGUGUCGACUUUGGGCUGUUUUCAACCGUUGCUGAAUCACCUUGACUUUUUCUAUGGCUUGAUACACAAGAUCCGGUCCGAACAUAAGAGUUUCACCCGCUUCGAACCAUCCUAUUGGUGAUCUACACUUUCUCCCAUAUAAAGCUUCAUAUGGUGCCAUUUUGAUACUUGAAUGAUAGCUAUUAUUGUAGGCAAACUCAAUAAGAGGUAAAUGAUCAUCCCAGCUGCCUUUAAAAUCUAUAACACAUGCUCGUAGCAUAUCUUCAAGUGUUUGAAUGGUGCGCUCUGCUUGUCCAUCCGUCUGAGGGUGAAAAGCUGUACUCAGAUUCACUUGUGUUCCCAAACCCCGUUGGAAAGACUUCCAAAAGUUUGCAGUAAAUUGAGUUCCCCGAUCCGAUAUAAUAGAAGUUGGCACUCCAUGUAAUCGGACUAUUUCUUUAACAUACAGCUUCGAAUAUUCUUCAACUGUGUAAGUGGUCUUAACGGGUAAGAAAUGUGCGGAUUUAGUAAGCCUAUCCACAAUCACCCAUAUAGAAUCAAAUUUUCGAGCUGUACGAGGCAAACCUGUAACAAAAUCCAUGUUGAUCAUGUCCCACUUCCAAAUUGGAAGAUCUAUGCAUUGCAUAUAGCCUCCGGGUUUUUGGUGCUCAACUUUAACUCUUUGACAAUUUGGACAUUCAGCUACAAAUUCUGCAAUGCUCUUCUUCAUGUCAUUCCACCAAUACAUAUCUUUCAAAUCUUGAUACAUUUUGGUUGAUCCUGGAUGAAUGGAAUACCUUGAAAAAUGUGCCUCUGUCAUAAUCUUCUUUCUUAGCCCGUCUAUAUCCGGCACACACAAUCGGUUUUGGCACUGAAGUACUCCUUCUCGCGUAAGCUCAAAUGCCUUGGUCGCACCACUCUGAACGUUCUCCUUAAGAUGUAAUAAAAUAGGAUCUGCAUAUUGCUUCUCUUUCACUUCAGCUACUAAUGAAGAUUCCGCAGCAUUAUGUACGAUAAGCUCUUUAUUCGGAGUUUCAAGAAGGCGAACUCCCAAACUAGCUAACUGGUGAAGAUCUUUAACCAUCCCUUGCCUUUCUAUAGGCGCCAUCAUAGCCUUACGACUUAACGCAUCAGCUACCACAUUUGCUUUCCCUGGAUGGUACAAGAUAUCAACAUCAUAGUCCUUUAAUAGUUCAAGCCAUCUCCGCUGCCUUAAAUUUAGAUCCUUCUGAUUAAAAAUAUAUUGCAAGCUCUUAUGGUCAGUAUAUAUAUCAACAUGAACCCCAUAUAAGUAGUGGCGCCAUAUCUUUAAAGCAAAAAUAACUGCUGCCAACUCAAGAUCGUGUGUAGGAUAAUUUUUCUCAUGUGGCCGCAAUUGUCUAGAAGCAUAUGCUAUUACCUUACCAUGCUGCAUCAAUACACAUCCUAAACCAAUUCUGGAAGCAUCACAAUACACUGUAUACCCUUCGGUGCCUUCUGGUAGUACCAACACGGGUGUAGAAAUCAACUUGUUCUUUAAAUCUUGAAAACUCUUCUCACAGGCAUCAUUCCAUUGGAAUUUGGAUGCUUUAUGGGUUAGCUUGGUUAAGGGUGCUGAAAUGGAAGAAAAGUCUUUGACAAACCUUCUAUAAUAACCGGCCAACCCAAGAAAACUACGAAUCUCCGUAGGCGUUGUGGGCCUUGGCCAGUUCUUCACAGCUUCUAUCUUUUGAGCAUCAACCUUUAUCCCUUCACUAGAUACAAUAUGACCCAAAAAUGCCACCGACUUUAACCAAAACUCACAUUUAGAGAACUUUGCAUAAAGCUUACAAUCACGAAGAGUCUGCAAUGCCUGUCGUAAGUGAUUGGCAUGGUCCUCUUCUGAUCUAGAAUAAACUAGAAUAUCAUCUAUAAAAACUAUCACAAAUACAUCCAGGAAUGGCUUAAAAACCCUAUUCAUCAAAUCCAUAAAAGCUGCGGGUGCAUUUGUUAGCCCAAAUGACAUAACUAGAAACUCAUAAUGACCAUACCUUGUUCGGAAAGCUGUUUUGGGUAUAUCUUUUUCUUUGACCCUCACUUGGUGGUAACCUGACCUCAAAUCAAUCUUAGAAAAGCACUUGGCGCCCUGUAACUGAUCAAAUAAAUCAUCAAUUCUUGGGAGAGGAUAUUUAUUCUUAAUAGUCACCUUAUUCAAUUGCCGAUAAUCAAUACACAUCCUCAGCGAGCCAUCCUUUUUGCGUACAAAUAACACUGGUGCUCCCCAAGGGGAAAUACUAGGCCUAAUGAACCCCUUUUCUAGCAAAUCUUUCAAUUGCUCUUUCAAUUCUCGUAAUUCUGCUGGGGCCAUUCUAUACGGAGGAAUGGAGAUUGGUUGGGUGCCUGGUAUUACAUCAAUACCAAACUCUACUUCUCGUUCAGGAGGCAAACCUGGAAGAUCUUCAGGAAAUACAUCAGAAAAUUCAUUUACCACCGGAACAGCGUGAAGAGUUGGUGGCUCCGCUUCUGUAUCCCUUACUCUAACUAAAUGAUAUAUGUAUCCCUUGGAAAUCAUUCUUCUCGCCUUAAAAUAAGAAAUGAAUCAGUCCUUGAAUGGCUUUUGUCACGCCCCAAAAUCCCAUCGGGCCGGACUGAUUCAUUUGGAAAAUGGAAAUAUACCUUUUUCGUACAAUAAUCAAUUGUGGCAUAACAAGACGCCAACCAGUCCAUACCCAUUAUAACAUCAAAAUCUACCAUUUCUAACUCCACAAGAUCAGUCAUCGUAUCACGACCACAAACAGUUACUAUGCAGUUUCGAUAAACCCUUCUAGCUAUAAUAGAUUCCCCGACCGGUGUGGACACUUCAAAUGGCUUAACUAACAGUUCGGGUAUUCUUUCGAACUUUCCAGCAACCAAUGGAGUAACAUAAGAUAAUGUAGAACCGGGAUCAAUUAAGGCAUAUAAAUUGAAUGAAAAUAUAGCCAACAUACCCGUAACCACAUCUGGAGAAGCCUCUAAAUUCUGUCGAUCUGCUAGAGCAUACGUACGAUUUUGAGCCCCGCUAGAACUCGUGGCUCCUCUAUCACCUCUAACACGACCCAUUGGCUGUGCACCCCUUCCUGAAUAAGGCAUCGAUGAUGAUGAUGCAACAAAUGACCCCGUAGGUCGUGCCAUACCCCCUAUGUCCCUUCGUGGGCAUUCCCUCAUCAUAUGCCCCGACAUACCGCACCAAAAGCAAACAUUGGUCCCCAGCCGACAUGCGCCCAAAUGAUACCUUCCACAUUUAUUGCAUGGCUCUCGAGGAGGUCUUGAUUGGCUCAUAUUCCCUUGACCUUGGUACCCCACUGUCCGCGAACUCUGACUCUCACUUCUGUGCCCAAAUUGAUUUCCUCUGAACCCUUGGAACUGUGGUGGGGCACUAGCUGUAGAAUAAGAGGAUAAUGGCCUAGGUGGUCUAGCAGAAAACUGUGGUCUGAACCCUCUUUCGAAUGCCAUGAACUGCCCUGUAGAUCUGGCCCUCUUGGAAUAUCCUCUUUCUGAUUCCUGUGUUCUUCUCCUCUGCCUCUGAUCUUCCAUUUUUUGUGCAAAAGCUUGGAUUCUCGCUAUGUCCAUAUUUGGAAUAUCCUCUUUCUGAUUCUUGUGUUCUUCUCCUCUGCCUCUGAUCUUCCAUUUUUUGUGCAAAAGCUUGGAUUCUCGCUAUGUCCAUAUCUUUGUUCAAAGCAGCAAUAAUAUAAUCUUUAACCAGAUAUGGAUCUAGCCUAUCCACAUAUUUAUGAAUUCUGUCAUCCAUAGUAGCUACAACAUUAGGAGCAUAUCUUGACAAGGAAUUAAAUCGGAGACUGUACUCCCUCACGCUCAUAUUCCCCUGACGAAGAUUUAAAAACUGAUCUGCACGGGCCUGACGAAUCUCGAAUGGAAGAUAAUGAUCAAGAAAUGCCUCUUUGAACUCCUUCCAAGUAGCUGGGGGUGCAUCAAUACCCCUAGAUCGUUUCCAGUCCUCAUACCAAUAUAUAGCCUCCCCUUUAAAUCUAUACGCCGCUAACUCCACUGUCUCUCUACCCGUUACAUGCAUAACAUCCAAGGCCCUUUGAAUUUGAUCGAUAAAGUCCUGUGGGUCCUCGUUAAGAUCUGAUCCAGUAAAAGUGGGAGGAUCCAUCUUAAGAAAAUCCUGUGUUCGAAGGCUAGCCGCCCUAUCUAUACCACUAGGACCUGCAGUAGGAAUGGCUUGCCCUUGAGCUUGCCCAGCAACUAUACGAGUCAAAAGUUGCACUGCAUUUCUAAGAUCUUGAUCAACAACAUUAAUAGGUGGCUCUGCGGAUAUAGUUCUCCUCCCCCUUAUUUCUUCCGGACUGGAGGAAGUUUCUGAUGCAUGCUCAGCUGGAGCCUCACUUUGAUUAGCUGGUAUAGUGGGUGACUUACUAGUCCCCUCUCCGGCAGCCACAUCUACUUGCUUACCGGUAUUCUUGCUUCUGGUAACCGGCAUCAUUACUAUAAUAAGAGAAACAAACUGAUUCAGUGGUCAACUAUGACUUCAUAUACAAUAUAAGCUCUAUCGCACGAUCUAAGACAUGAAGAAAAGAAACAAUUCCUAAAUGUCCAUAGCCUCCUGUUUAUAGAUGUGGUGCACAACACACCGAUAAACAAGACCCUACGUAGACACGGCUUUGUAGACUCACUAGGACGAACCUCUCUGAUACCACUUUUGUCACGCCCCAAAAUCCCAUCGGGCCGGACUGGCACCCGAAGCCGAGAAGGCCCGGGAGAACCCGUUCAAAUACCUGUACUUUCACUUACAUGUCACCAAAAAAAUUGGACAGCACUUCGUUGCAUAUAGAAAGGUCUAAUUACCUGUAUCAGCACAACACGCACAAAUAUAUAUAUAUAAUACUUGGCCGUCGGGGCCACCACAUAUACAAAUAUAACGUUACUAUAUAAACUUCCAUGACUUUACCCUUCCUUAUGUCUACAAAGCCUCUAGGAUAUACAUGACAUAACUAGGGUCGGGACAAACCCCCGCCCACACGUGACUCAUGUACAAUAACAAAACAUAAGGAACCGACUCGGAAAGCUCCGAAGCAAACUGGAGCUCACCAACAAUAGCUGUAUGACCUGGCUCCUACUUGUGCGGUGUAUGAGUUGAGGUACCUGUGCCUGCAGCAUGAAAUGCAGGUCCCCCGUGAGGGACGUCAGUACGAAAUAUGUACUGAGUAUGUAAAGCUGUAAAUAAUCACAUAUGAUAUAGGAGCUCAAUAGAAAUCAGAAACAAGUGAAUAAGUCGUAAUAGGAGUGGACCACACUUACUAGAACUUGUGACAACCUGUACAUUGUAUUUAUUCAAUCACUUUACCUUCGUUCUUAUCGUCUUUGUAAUCAUUACUGUACUGUACUGUGACCAUUAGGAUGCCUCCAGUACAUAUCAACUGGGAUCGACCCAUGCUAGGCUUAUGCCCCUGGGAUACCACCCAUAAACACAUGAAAUAGGGAUCGACCCAUGCUAGGCUUAUGCCCCUGGGAUACCACCCGAUAAGAGAGAACUUUCAUCACUUAGUUCAAUUAAUCUUUGAGAUUGUUAUUUCGGUCGUCACCACAUUUUUGAUACCUUGAAACAAUGAUACAUCAAUAGGAACCAAGUAAUAGACCUUCUAUACAAUAACGAUGUAAUAAGGACUCAUUGGUACAUCAACAAUAUGUUUCAGAAUCAUCAAUAUCACAACAAUGAAAUAAGAGCCUUUUGGUAUAUCAAUGAACAUUUUGACACUUUAUAGGAUGGAAACAACUUCGUUGGUAACGUAGAACAAUACAUGUUUUUGGACAACCUCGGAAUCUUACUUGAUGGAACAUUGGUGUUUUCAUGCCAAAGAACAUUGUUAGAGUAUGCUUUACAUACCUCGUUGUAGAUUCAGCUACCAAUUCAACACAACUUCCCGCCUUUACAAAUCACUUAUCUACAAUGAAAUGUUUGGCAUCUAGUAUUAGCAACCCAACACCACAAUUCUCUUCCAUAAUUCCAUACUACCAAUAUUUGCAAAACAUUCCAAAAACCAACUUGAACAAUAGGUUUAUGUGUGUAUAUGUAUAUAAUCAUCAUCUCAAUACCACAUCAUCAAUACCACAUCAUCACCCCAAAUUCCUUCACAAUUUAACAUAAUCCAACCAUGCACAAGAAUAAUCCAACAUCAUUUCCAAUCAUCUUUCAACAACAAUCAAAUAACAUACUUCUUAUGCUCACAUGCAUAUAUAUAUAUAUAUACAUAUCCAUAUAAAUAACACCAACAUAAUUUACAUCCUUACCAAAAAAAAUGGCCCUUUUGAUUUCGAAGUCCUGUUGGCACAAAUAAGGGGUGCUUCUCGAAGCCCUUGAGAUGGUGAACACAACUACGGAAUCAAUUUGGAUUUUCUACGGUUGAAUCACAAGAUAUUUGGAGUUGAAAUUAGGCUAGGGUUUCUUAUUUUCAAUAAUUUGAUGAUAAUUGAUGGAUAUGAGACUAAUUAUAUGUAUAUAAUGACCAAUUUUCGUCCAUGAGGUGAUGGAAAAUGACCAUAUUGCCCUUAAAAAUUUAAGUAAAUCCGAAUCUGUCCAUGGUGGACUGUUUUGAUAGGCUAAAGUAAAUCGGCCAUAACUCUUUGCUCCGAUAUCGGAUUUGGGUGAAAUUGGUAUCGUUAGAAAGAUAAUUCAAAGGUCUUUCAUUUAAUA
rnacentral:lncRNA from 1 species